rnacentral:rRNA from 1 species
GACGAACGCUGGCGGCGUGCUUAACACAUGCAAGUCGAACGCUGAAGCUCAGCUUUUGUUGGGUGGAUGAGUGGCGAACGGGUGAGUAACACGUGAGUAACCUGCCCCCUUCUUUGGGAUAACGCCCGGAAACGGGUGCUAAUACUGGAUAUUCACUGGUCUUCGCAUGGGGGUUGGUGGAAAGGGUUUUUCUGGUGGGGGAUGGGCUCGCGGCCUAUCAGCUUGUUGGUGGGGUGAUGGCCUACCAAGGCUUUGACGGGUAGCCGGCCUGAGAGGGUGACCGGUCACAUUGGGACUGAGAUACGGCCCAGACUACUACGGGAGGCAGCCGUGGGGAAUAUUGAACAAUGGGCGCAAGGCUGAUGCAGCGACGCCGCGUGAGGGAUGGAGGCCUUCGGGUUGUGAACCUCUUUCGCUCAUGGUCAAGCCGCAACAAUGGUUGUGGUGAGGGUAGUGGGUAAAGAAGCGCCGGCUAACUACGUG